CUCAUUGUUAGUCUUAAUUUCGUCAUUCAAAGGGAAACUGCAAGCCUGGCCCUUCAUUUCAAUACAAUUGUAUUGUGUUAUGGGGGUUAAAGUAGCUCAUGCACUGAGAACAAUGUAACAACCCAUCCAACCUACAAAUUUUGUAACCGACCCUCUUGUAACUCAGACAAACGACAACUGGGUCCUUAGUGAGGGGUGGGAAUCCUUGCG
rnacentral:lncRNA from 1 species